CUUUGUUUGAUAUUCAUGAUCUGUUUUCAGGCCAUUUCAGGCCAUUUGGCAAGCCCUUUUAUCCGAAGUGGCACCCGUGCAUUCUAAGCAUGUGUGGCCCCAGUGGGAGUUGACCCCUUGACCCUGGCACAAUGCCAUGCGCCACCAGUUGAGCUGGACAGGAGCACCUGUCACCUGUGUUUCAUACCGGAAUAGUACCGGCCAGCAAAGUGGAGGUAUUUUCUGUAUUACCUCCAUCCAACUGAGAGCCCGGGCUGUCAAAGGGCCCUAAUCCGCCUCCCUACCUCCUCCAGAUCUGGAAGCAUGCCCAAGAAUAAAAUAAUUGUGUUAUCAGCCUUGUUCUUCAAAGAUAGAGGUCUACACACACACGCACGCACACGCACACGCACACACACACACACACACACACACACACACACACACACACACACACACACACACACACACACACACACACACAUAGAGACAGAGAAACACAAGCACACAGACACACACAAACACACAAUACAACUGCAUUGGCUAGUCAACACAUUUCUAAACAAUUAUUUUAUUUAUAAAAACAAAACCAACACACAGAAAAAAAUCACUAUUUUUGAAAUGUUGUGCCAGUCUUUUCAGUAUUGGUGAAACUCAACACUAACCAACACAUUGACCACACUGUGUGCCUAACUAUGAUGCGACAUGCAUUCAGUUAUGGUGGAGACCAGUGACUUUAACUAAUUGAUUUGUGAAGGAAAGGCUCAUGUGACCGCAUAAUAACGAAUAGGCUACACUGCAUAGGUGAACUGGUUUGGACUAAAGUGUAAGGGCCUUAUUCACCUAGUGGCCAUCUUGGUUUAUUCUUGGUUCUAAACUCUAGCUGUGGGUUGGGGGGGGGGGGACUGAAUGCAGAAUUUCUCAUUCAGUCCCCCCCCCCCCUCCCAACUAAGGAUUAGAACUAAAAUGGCUGCUUGGUGAAUCAGGCCCAUACUAUGAGCAUAUUAGCAGAACACAUACAGUACAUAUUAGGUUGUGUUGGGCUGGUGUAUGAUUUCUCCUUGUGUUUGGCAACCAUGCUUGUAAAGUGUAUAUUUUAGGAUUCAUUUUCUUUCAAACACAUCAUUUAUAACAAGGUGCCAAGAGUGCCAAUUAAAUAACAUUUAUGGAAUCAUUUGAAACCUGGAAGACAAACAGACAAAAAAAGCACAAAACAUUGACGAAUAAAUGUUGUUGUUAGAUAACAGGUGUUUAGAUAACAAAGUUCAGCAAACAGUGCAUUUAGCCCCAAUGUUAGGUCAGUGAGUCAUUGUGUUUAUUUGGAUUAAGGGUCCUUUUCUUCUUCAUUAAAAACAAAAGCAGCGUUGUGGAACAUUUCACCCGGGGUUGCAGAAGCGGAAAACAAGGUGAUUAUCUGUUCACUUUGGUUUGGUCAGUUUGUCUCUGGAAAGGAAAUUAAAAAAAUAAAACAUUGCUCAAUAAUGUCACAUUCUCAUUCCAGUUGUGGGGACACAGUUCCAUUACAUUUUCCGCAUCAAUGAAUUCUCAUCUCUGCAGUGGACCAUGAGCGGUCUUAGAAAAACCUGUUCAAACAGAGACGGUUACCACUCUAUGUCCCUGUGCCACGUUAUUAUUAUUUAUAGAUAAAAAUACACAUAGUGGUGUGAUGGGGGCGUGGCUUGGCUUUGACUGCAAACAAAUGGGGGGGGGGGGGUCAGGGACGGCAGUCCGGGAGUAAAGACUGCCUUUAAUAGAACUAAUGGUCCUGAGUUUCCUUCUAGAACCCGGUACUAGUAUUGUCCCGCUACACCGGCCCUAUACCCGCUCCGAGGUGGACGGUGUUGGACGCUGGUAGCCCCCCCACUCCCCACUCCCCGUCCCCGUCCCUGUCCCAGAGGAGGAGGUCCGGGGUCCCCCGCCACACCUCCUGUGGGCCGGCCCACUCGCCCUCCCGGGGCGUGUCCACCGCCCCGCGUUGUCCGCUGAUUGGUGUGCGUAGGCGAAGGGGAAUAGAACCUCCCCACGCGAUGCCGCCGCCAGGGUACACCCCCCCGGAACCGGGACAGGUCCUGGAGGACCGGGGGGCUCCCCUCGGCGCGGUGGCCGGGCAGCCAGAUCCAGUAUGACCUGCGUCUGAUGGGGACGGGACCGGGGACGGAUCUCCUCCGCAUCUUUCUACCCAUCCGCUCACAGUCUGCCCGCCGGCUGUGGAAGUCACGUUGGACGGAACGCAAACCUGAAGAGGGCUUCAAUCUGGGCCUUUGCCGAUGGAACCAAAAUACCUUCAAAAGGAAAGAAAACAACUAUGAUGAAACAGAGCGUUUGGCGUACACGCACACACACACGUGUGCACACAAAGGCACACACACUUUUGUGUUGAUAUCAUGAGCUGCUUUUCUUCAGUGUGUUUAACGGGGGGGAUUGACAACUCUAAUUUGACCAUCCCUUGGAGGGCACUGCUAAUAAAUAAAACAUGUGUCUGUCUUCUAACGAGCUGCGGGAGGGGAACGCUUCUAAUGCUGUAAUGUGCGUGCACGUCUCACUCUCUCUCUCUCUCUCUCUCUCUCUCUGCGUGUCUCUGUCGUUGUUCCUUUGAUGUGUCACACGCCCUGAAGGGUAGGAUCUACAGAGACGCAAAUUCUGCAUCCAAUCUGAUCGUUGUGUGCACUCGAACGAACUUGA
ensembl:lncRNA